UACGGAGGGAGCUAGCGCUGUUCGGAAUUACUGGGCGUAAAGCGCACGUAGGCGGCUUUGUAAGUUAGAGGUGAAAGCCCGGAGCUCAACUCCGGAACUGCCUUUAAGACUGCAUCGCUUGAAUCCAGGAGAGGUGAGUGGAAUUCCGAGUGUAGAGGUGAAAUUCGUAGAUAUUCGGAAGAACACCAGUGGCGAAGGCGGCUCACUGGACUGGUAUUGACGCUGAGGUGCGAAAGCGUGGGGAGCAAACAGG
rnacentral:rRNA from 1 species